UUGAGCUGAUGCUCCAAAAAAUUGAAAAAAAAAACGAAAUAGACCCAUCAGAAACAGUGAUCCAUUUAAGGAAUGAUUGUAUUUUUAUUGUAUGAGUUUAAUCAGGACAAAAGUAACAGAACAAAAUAGAAAGGAGUUUCUUCCCAAAGAGGUAGCACCUGUGUUUGUAUGUGUGAAAAAGAUACCCUCAAAAACCAUUGUAGCUAGAACUGUCAAAGAGACAGAAAGAAAACAAGAUAUAGAUCCUUCUGACAUUUUCAAAGCAUGAUCAUCUCAUGUUUGGAAGGAUAAACAUUUAGAUAUAUGGUUUCUGUUGUAAUGUUUUCAAAAUAAAGCUUUCGAAUCUGGGUUCCAGAGAUACAACAUUGACCUGUCAUGUCUAAUACUGAUUAAAUGCUGUACAAAUAGACUGUGAAUUUAACAGCAAGAUAUCUAUUGACAUUUUCUAAUGUGAUGGCAGUCCUGCCAGCUCUGGCUGUUGUAUUUCACAAACUAAAUAAAGGUCAGUGCCAGUGGGUGGUAAACCUUCAUAAGCAGUAAUAUGAGUGAUUCAGCAGCUGACACUUGGGUAUGACUCAGCCCUGAACCAGACUCUAGGACACUCCUAAACUAGCUGAUGUGAAACAUCAUUUACAGAUGUAAGCCUGGGCUCAUUGGAGUCAGCCUAAAAUCACAUGGAGCUUUCUAUAAGCAUUUUAGUAAAUAUUUUAGUAAAUAGAGAAACUGUAGAGUAGCAUGUUCAUGAUUUGUUCUAGAGGAAUGUCCAGGAUGUAAAAUACAUUCCUUUAGAGCUGCCAUUCCUUUAAAAACGACACCUCUAAAGGAAUAGGUAACUUUUAUCGUAACUCAUACGCUAUUGAUAUGUUGACUAACUUGUCACAUAAUUUCCCUUUACGUUAGGUGCCAUUUUGACAGGGGUAGGAGAACAUAGCAUAUAAACAGUUCCCUGUCCAUGAUCAUGAGCAGAAAAACUUUGUAAUCACUUCUUACCACUUUUUUUCAUGUACAAUGUGGCAUAGGAAAUGCUAUUUUAUUACCCAGGAGAUGUAGAACUGCAUCAUAAAUCCCUGAUUGACAUUACUAAUAACUGCUUGUGCAUGUUCAGUUAUGAAGUCAGUAGUUUGCCAGGACUUUCUAGGCUGUUACAGUGAUAAAAUAUGAACUAAAAAGGGCUAUAUCAUUACUAUUAAUAUUGUUAUUAUUAUUAUUAUUAAUAAUAAUAAUAGCAAUAUCAUACUUUCUACUGUUAUUUGUAGGGCUAAACCUGAUCAGAUUUACUCUGAGUUUCACCAUGAUCCUUCUUUUCUGGAUGCAAGAAAAAUGAAUUUGGAUAUUUUGAACUUUGGAGACAGUGAAUAAAAUGUCUAUAACUUUCUAACAAAAUAAGUUCAUCUUAAAAUAAUAAUAAUAAUUUGGCAUAAUAUUUAUGAAUAAGUGCUACAGAACUCCUUCUUCCUCCUUCUUUCUUCUUUGUUCUUCUGUCUUCUUUGUUUCUGUAUUGGAACUUUCCAGGAACUUCUACUUUGUAAACUAUGCAUAUUGAUACUGGAUUUCUCCUUUUCUCUGUAAUCUUCCUCAUAGUAAAACUCUCUUUAUGUGUAUCAGAUGUAGUGGGAACUUGGCUUUAUUUAAGAUCUUUAGGUUUUAAUGUAACACAAAAUGUAACAUUUCUUCAGUAUAAACUAAAUUCAGAACCAAACACAGAAACUAUCAUGCAGUCUUUGAGUUCUGGGAAUUGGUAAAAUAUCUGUUUCUACUUUUCUACUAUUAAAUCCCAUUUCUUGCACUUCUGCAGCAAAUCUUGGAUCUCACAUCUUUCCAUUCCAGCACAGCACCUUUCUUUCUCUGUUCUCUCAAGCACAUGUGGAGAUCAAAGGAUACUAUGCAAAGGUACAAGGCUGUACAGAUCCCUGCACCAUGAUUUUCCCUGUUCUUGCUUCUGAGCCGUACUCUACUUCAAAAUUGUCAAUAAAUUCAUCCCACGAUAAUGAAGAACAAACAAAAAUGAUGACAAAUCAUAUACUUUAUACAUUUAGACUGUGUAUAUACACAUCUCAGCCUCUUUUAUUUUUUUUCUUUUCUUUUGUGAGGAGAGUAAAUCUGUAUUUGACCUGAGACCUUUCUGAAAAUGGAGCUGACCCGGAAUCAUAGACAGGAUAUGAUCAAAAAUAUCAUCCUGUAGAGGAGUCAGAUUGAAUCUUCAGUCAGUAAGAGGACAAAAAGAAGAUUUGAUGUCAUUGGAAGAGGAUUUCUGGAUCAUUAACAUAAAUCAGAAGGAUAAUCACUUUGAUUAAAUCAGUGGAAGCUUGGGAGCUUUCAACACCCAAUAAUCUGAUACAUUCAUUGCAUCAGUGCAACCACCAUCACUGUGUAUGUGUGACAAGUAUGAAGGUUUGCAAUAUGCAUCUUGCUUAAGUCUAUCAGUUAUUAAAAUCAAGAAAAGAUGAAAGAAAUUGAAUAUUUACAGCCUUUCUAGGAGCUUGAAAGUGAGAAGUAAUAGUGACAAUCAAAAACAUCUGCUAGAAAAAAAAAUAAAAAAUUGAAGAAAAAAGAAAUAUAAACUAUUCUAUUUAACAGUUCA